rnacentral:RNase_P_RNA from 1 species
GGAGCCGGCCAGACAGUCGCGUCAUUCGCAAGAAUGCCGAGGAAAGUCCGGGCUCCAUAGGGCACGGUGCCAGGUAAUGCCUGGGCGAUGCGAAUCGACGGAAAGUGCAGCAGAGAGUAGACCGCCGAUGGCCUCAGGGCACAGGCAAGGGUGAAACGGUGCGGUAAGAGCGCACCGCGAGUCCGGUAACGGACCGGCAUGGCAAACCCCACCGGGAGCAAGACCAAAUAGGGACCUCAUGGCGCGGCCCGCGUCGGGUCCGGGUAGGUUGCUUGAGCGCAACGGCGACGUCGCGCCUAGACGAAUGACUGUCCACGACAGAACCCGGCUUAUCGGCCGGCUCCGCCA